rnacentral:rRNA from 1 species
GUGAUAUGAACCGUUAUAACCGGCGAUACCCGAAUGGGGAAACCCAGUGUGAUUCGUCACACUAUCAUUAACUGAAUCCAUAGGUUAAUGAGGCGAACCGGGGGAACUGAAACAUCUAAGUACCCCGAGGAAAAGAAAUCAACCGAGAUUCCCCCAGUAGCGGCGAGCGAACGGGGAGGAGCCCAGAGCCUGAAUCAGCAUGUGUGUUAGUGGAAGCGUCUGGAAAGGCGCGCGAUACAGGGUGACAGCCCCGUACACAAAAGCGCAUGUGCUGUGAGCUCGAUGAGUAGGGCGGGACACGUGGUAUCCUGUCUGAAUAUGGGGGGACCAUCCUCCAAGGCUAAAUACUCCUGACUGACCGAUAGUGAACCAGUACCGUGAGGGAAAGGCGAAAAGAACCCCGGCGAGGGGAGUGAAAAAGAACCUGAAACCGUGUACGUACAAGCAGUGGGAGCACCCUUUGGGGUGUGACUGCGUACCUUUUGUAUAAUGGGUCAGCGACUUAUAUUCUGUAGCAAGGUUAACCGUAUAGGGGAGCCGUAGGGAAACCGAGUCUUAACCGGGCGUUAAGUUGCAGGGUAUAGACCCGAAACCCGGUGAUCUAGCCAUGGGCAGGUUGAAGGUUGGGUAACACUAACUGGAGGACCGAACCGACUAAUGUUGAAAAAUUAGCGGAUGACCUGUGGCUGGGGGUGAAAGGCCAAUCAAACCGGGAGAUAGCUGGUUCUCCCCGAAAGCUAUUUAGGUAGCGCCUCGUGAAUUCAUCUCCGGGGGUAGAGCACUGUUUCGGCUAGGGGGCCAUCCCGGCUUACCAACCCGAUGCAAACUGCGAAUACCGGAGAAUGUUAUCACGGGAGACACACGGCGGGUGCUAACGUCCGUCGUGAAGAGGGAAACAACCCAGACCGCCAGCUAAGGUCCCAAAGUCAUGGUUAAGUGGGAAACGAUGUGGGAAGGCCCAGACAGCCAGGAUGUUGGCUUAGAAGCAGCCAUCAUUUAAAGAAAGCGUAAUAGCUCACUGGUCGAGUCGGCCUGCGCGGAAGAUGUAACGGGGCUAAACCAUGCACCGAAGCUGCGGCAGCGACGCUGAUGCGUUGUUGGGUAGGGGAGCGUUCUGUAAGCCUGUGAAGGUGGCCUGUGAGGGUUGCUGGAGGUAUCAGAAGUGCGAAUGCUGACAUAAGUAACGAUAAAGCGGGUGAAAAGCCCGCUCGCCGGAAGACCAAGGGUUCCUGUCCAACGUUAAUCGGGGCAGGGUGAGUCGACCCCUAAGGCGAGGCCGAAAGGCGUAGUCGAUGGGAAACGGGUUAAUAUUCCCGUACUUGGUGUUACUGCGAAGGGGGGACGGAGAAGGCUAUGUUGGCCGGGCGACGGUUGUCCCGGUUUAAGCGUGUAGGUGUGUGUUCCAGGUAAAUCCGGUUCACUUUAACACUGAGGCGUGACGACGAGGCACUACGGUGCUGAAGCAACAAAUGCCCUGCUUCCAGGAAAAGCCUCUAAGCAUCAGGUAACAUCAAAUCGUACCCCAAACCGACACAGGUGGUCAGGUAGAGAAUACCAAGGCGCUUGAGAGAACUCGGGUGAAGGAACUAGGCAAAAUGGUGCCGUAACUUCGGGAGAAGGCACGCUGACACGUAGGUGAAGUGAUUUACUCAUGGAGCUGAAGUCAGUCGAAGAUACCAGCUGGCUGCAACUGUUUAUUAAAAACACAGCACUGUGCAAACACGAAAGUGGACGUAUACGGUGUGACGCCUGCCCGGUGCCGGAAGGUUAAUUGAUGGGGUCAGCGCAAGCGAAGCUCCUGAUCGAAGCCCCGGUAAACGGCGGCCGUAACUAUAACGGUCCUAAGGUAGCGAAAUUCCUUGUCGGGUAAGUUCCGACCUGCACGAAUGGCGUAAUGAUGGCCAGGCUGUCUCCACCCGAGACUCAGUGAAAUUGAACUCGCUGUGAAGAUGCAGUGUACCCGCGGCAAGACGGAAAGACCCCGUGAACCUUUACUAUAGCUUGACACUGAACAUUGAGCCUUGAUGUGUAG